UACAGAGGUCCCGAGCGUUGUUCGGAUUCACUGGGCGUAAAGGGUGCGCAGGUGGGCUGGUAAGUUCGAUGUGAAAGCCCCGGGCUUUACCCGGGAAUGGCAUUGGAUACUACUGGUCUGGAGGAUUGGAGGGGGGACUGGAAUUCUUGGUGUAGCAGUGAAAUGCGUAGAUAUCAAGAGGAACACCAGUGGCGAAGGCGAGUCCCUGGACAAUACCUGACACUGAGGCACGAAAGCCAAGGGAGCAAACAGG
rnacentral:rRNA from 1 species